rnacentral:sRNA from 1 species
GCUGAGUGUGGUGGUGCAUGCUUGUACUCCCAGUUAAAUUUGACUUGGGAGGCUGAGGCAGGAAGAUUGCAAGUUCAAAGGUCAGCCUUAGCAACUUAGCAAGACCCUGUCUCAA